rnacentral:lncRNA from 1 species
AUCCCCCCCUCGAGAGCAAUGGGUCCCCCGUUGGGACGGCCCCGUGCCUCAGUUUCCCCAUGUGGGUAAUGGGUUCCCCAUUGGGAGUCAUGGAAACCCAUUGGGACGGCCCCGUGCCUCAGUUUCCCCAUGUGGGUAAUGGGUUCCCCAUUGGCAGUCGUGGAUCCCCCAUUGGGAGUCAUGGAAACCCAUUGGGACGGCCCCGUGCCUCAGUUUCCCCAUGUGGGUAAUGGGUUCCCCAUUGGGCGUCAUGGAAACCCAUUGGGACAGCCCCCUGCCUCAGUUUCCCCGUAUGGGAAAUGGAUUGCUAUGGUACGACUCUGUGCCUCAGUUUCCCCACUGGGAGCCAUGGAAACCCACUGGGACGGCCCCGUGCCUCAGUUUCCCCACUGGGAGUCAUGGAUCCCAUAUUGGGAGCAAUGGUCCCCCACUGGAACAGUUCCGUGCCUCAGUUUCCCCAUGGGGAUCAUGGAUUCCCCAUAGGGAUCAUGGAUCCCCCAUUGGGAGCAAUGGAUCCCGCAUUGGGACAGCCCCGUGCCUCAGUUUCCCCAUAUGGGUACUGGGAUCCCCAUAGGGAUCAUGGGUCCCCCAUUGGGUGCCAUGGAUCCCC